AUGGAGAAAAAACAUCAACAUAUUCUAAAUGUUAGAAGAUCUCUACUUUACCAAUUCAAACUUCUCAGACAAUAUUGGUCAUACACACUCAAUCAUGUUAUUUUCCUCAUAACUAGAGUUACCACACUUCAAAACAAAUCACAUAUCAUAUGCUAUAUGACAGAGAACUUGAUCCCAACUCAUUCAAAGUUUGUGGCUGUCCGUAUAUGCUUCAACUUUGCAGUCUCACAUAACUAA